rnacentral:RNase_P_RNA from 1 species
CGGCCAGACAGUCGCUGUACGGUCUGACCGUGCAGAGGAAAGUCCGGGCUCCGCAGAGCAGGAUGCCGGCUAACGGCCGGACGCCGUGAGGCGAUGGACAGGGCAACAGAAAACAAACCGCCGAAGCACCCGCAAGGGCGCUGGCAAGGGUGAAACGGUGCGGUAAGAGCGCACCGCGGACGUGGCAACACGGACGGCACGGCAACCCCCAUCCGGAGCAAGGCCAAAUAGGGACGCUAUGGUGUGGCUCGCACCGCGUCCGGGUAGGCUGCUAGAGCCGGUCAGUGAUGGCCGGCCCAGAGGAAUGACUGUCAGCGGCGGGCAACCGCCGUACACAGAACCCGGCUUAUCGGCCGACUUCACAC